GAUGAACGCUAGCGGCAGGCUUAACACAUGCAAGUCGAGGGGUAUUGGUUUUCGGACCAAGAGACCGGCGCACGGGUGCGUAACGCGUAUGCAAUCUACCUUUUGCAGAGGGAUAGCCCAGAGAAAUUUGGAUUAAUACCUCAUAGUAUAGCGACAUCGCAUGAUGAUGCUAUUAAAGUCACAACGGCAAAAGAUGAGCAUGCGUCCCAUUAGCUAGUUGGUAAGGUAACGGCUUACCAAGGCAACGAUGGGUAGGGGUCCUGAGAGGGAGAUCCCCCACACUGGUACUGAGACACGGACCAGACUCCUACGGGAGGCAGCAGUGAGGAAUAUUGGACAAUGGGCGCAAGCCUGAUCCAGCCAUGCCGCGUGCAGGAUGACGGUCCUAUGGAUUGUAAACUGCUUUUAUACGAGAAGAAACACUCCAACGUGUUGGAGCUUGACGGUAUCGUAAGAAUAAGGAUCGGCUAACUCCGUG
rnacentral:rRNA from 1 species